CUGCUAGUAGCUGAAGGGGAAGGAGCUUCCAGGGAGGAAUUGCCUAGAGAUACUGCAGUUGCCUGAUUUUUACAAUUAAAAAUGAUAACCAGGAGCACCUUACAGAUAGCAGAGAGAGUCUGCUCAGAGUUAAGAACAAGCUGACUGAUUUUGAUGAAGAACAAUGAGAUCUGUGAGCCUGGGCCAGCGACUGCCAUGCCAGCUCUGGGUGCGCAGCCCCACUCAUGAGGACAAUACAGGGAUGGCAUCAGUUACUGUGACAAGCUCCAGCUCCUCCCUGGAGAGGGCCAUUGCCUAGCCAGCCAGACAGCGUGCCCUUGCACCCCAGGACAGUGGUGAUAGCUGCAUCACGUCAAUGCCUGCAGGGACAGACAGGCUGCUGGGGAUGCCUGCUACACCAAUCUGGUCCAGAAGCUGCACACAGGGGAGAGGCACCAGCCACCACUGGGAUGUGCCUUCAGGGAUGCUGCCACCCUCCAUUAGUGCCCUUUGACUGUACUGCUUCUAAGAGUGGUAGAAGAAAGACUAGACCCUGCUGCUGGACCAGCUGGUUAACCAAGGCAGAGGACUGGCUAAUGGACUCAUGGGCCUGGUGUGCUAAGGACCUCAUGCAUGACUGGGAUAGGGACCAUGAGGACUGGGUGUUCUGGGUGCUUCUGGUCCUUGAAGAAAGGCACAUUACUAUCCUCAAGAGAAGGUGCUGGAGCAGGAGGCCACCAUGGUGGCCUGAGCAGUGGAGGUCACAAAGGAGGACUACUGCAUACUGGAUACCAUCUUGGCCCUGGUAGUCACUUUCAUGCCACACACUGCCCUGCCUUUGGCCCUGAUCCUUGCUCCAUCUUCCCCCUGGGAGCCACCUACAGCAAGCCCCCCAGUGGGCUUGGAUUUAGGUGCAGUGGCACCUGCAGUGGCCAGGGCCCCCUGGUCCUUCACUUGUGCUGGGUCCCCUGGCAGCCAGCCCCCCUUCCUGGGCCUUCCCUGCCACUCACCCAAGUGCCAUGCAGCCCUUCAGCAGGAGCUGCCUGCAGCAGAGCCAGCACCACAUGUGGACCCUACUAGCCCUGGCCCCAUGAUGGAGAAGCGGAAGCCAGCACUGCAGGCAGAGCAAAAGCCACCCUCACCCUCAGGUGAGUUCCCAACCCACUGGCCUUGCCAGGGCACCUGCACCCACAGUGGGGUGGCCAGAGGCCAGGGUGCUGGGUGCCUGUCCCCAGGAUCUACUUCAUAGGUGCCUCCCCGCACUGUCCCACACUUCAGGCAGGCACACAGAUCCCAAUGUAAAUAAUGUAUGGGGAAAGAGAUACUUUAUUGGUGGUUGGUGGUGGGGCCUGUGUUUGGGGAGGGAGAGUGGGAUGGGGUCUAUGUUUGUGGAGGGAAAUAAAGACUUUUGCUGAAAACUGACUGAAGCAAGCACUGUGUUGUGGGUGCAUGGUGGGCCGGCCAGGUGCCCUACAGUGUGGGGUGCAGGAGGAGGUAAUCUGCCAUUGCUUCUCUCACAUGGUGCUCUGGCCCCUACUGCUGGGUGUUUGGCUCUC